rnacentral:rRNA from 1 species
CCUACGGGAGGCAGCAGUAAGGAAUAUUGGUCAAUGGACGCAAGUCUGAACCAGCCAUGCCGCGUGCAGGAUGAAGGCCCUCUGGGUUGUAAACUGCUUUUAUAGGGGACGAAAAAGGGACUUUCUAGUUCAACUGACGGUACCCUAGGAAUAAGCACCGGCUAACUCCGUGCCAGCAGCCGCGGUAAUACGGAGGGUGCAAGCGUUAUCCGGAUUUACUGGGUUUAAAGGGUGCGUAGGUGGGUCGGUAAGUCAGCGGUGAAAUCUUCAAGCUUAACUUGGAAACUGCCAUUGAUACUAUCGAUCUUGAAUCAUCUGGAGGUAAGCGGAAUAUGUCAUGUAGCGGUGAAAUGCUUAGAUAUGACAUAGAACACCAAUUGCGAAGGCAGCUUACUACGGAUGUAUUGACACUGAGGCACGAAAGCGUGGGGAUCAAACAGGAUUAGAUACCCUGGUAGUCCACGCCCUAAACGAUGGAUACUCGACAUACGUGAUAUACUAUGUGUGUCUGAGCGAAAGCAUUAAGUAUCCCACCUGGGAAGUACGAUCGCAAGAUUGAAACUCAAAUGAAUUGACGGCUGAGAGNGCGAGGAGACACGAGGGAGAGG